rnacentral:lncRNA from 1 species
AUACACUGAUAUUUAUUACAUACCACAAAAGGAAGCUAUUUAUCAACCAAAAUAAUCCCAAAUUUUCAACUACUAUUAUCCAUAUAUAAAAUAAAAAAUAAUUACAACAUUGUUUCAUAAUCAAGAUUUAGCAUACAUUGAAGUGGUUAAAAAAUGAUGGAUUGCUAGAAAAUCUAAUGGAACAACAAUCUGUUAAUACUAUUAAAUAAGAUUUCCAUUAUUUUUCGCUACUCUCGGGUCAUUUUUAUCACCUACAAAAGAUGAUAAAUAUAUCAGAAAAUAAUUCACAAAAGAAUAUAUUUUCAAUGAAUAGACUAAUAACGCGACGCACCAUAAUGUAGGAUGUACAUUAAGUGGGCACAACAAGUAUUCAAAUCUUGUCCAUAUUAUUUUGAGUGGUAAAUGAGAUCUUCUCCAUGGCACCAUGUAUUAUUCUGAAAUGAUAGACUACUAUAGUUAGCAAGAGGGGCCAGAACAAAGAUAAAAUGAACAAGAACAAGGGAAAUAAAUUGCAAAUGAACUUGAAAUGAGCAGUACACUUUGAAGCAAUUAAUAGACCAAAUAAACAAGAGAAAGAAAGAACAUUAUAUUUCAAAAAUGGAUUGAAAUUAAUCAAGCUCACACUGGUUCUACAAUUAUUUGGUUAAUGAACAGACCUAAAACUCCGUACGUUAAGCAAAAUGAGGCCAAUAGGAAAAACAGGUGAAGAAUAAACAUCUAAAGCUAAUUCCAGCAGGCAUUGGCUUUUCAUUAUUUCUGAUCACAGGACUAAACUCAUGUCUAAGACAAGAACUAUACAAACCAAAUUUAAAAAAUCUACAUAUCAGCUUGAGAGAUGACAUAAAUGUUUAAUAGAAUUGGUAUAUUGGGGAAAUAACGAAUAGAAAACAUAAAAAGUUGCAAUUAUCGACCAAUGUUUUCUCAAAUUCAAGACUAAGGUAGAUGAAAAUUACCUAUUAGCAAAAUUUGUCUCAGCCAAAUUUCUCCUCAUUUAUGUUUCUUCUGUACAUAUCCACAUGUAAGAAGAAGAAAAAUCGAGAUAUCAAUAUGAAAGUACGUAUAGUCAUUCCAACGUAACAUCAACUCUUUUUAAAGAAGCGAAAGUACUACAAACAAUUCUUGACUCAUGUAUUUAAUUUUUAGCAUGUCCGUUUUAUGCUCUUGAGAAGAAAUUAAUAUUAAGCUUUUGAGGGACAAACCAUGUGUAUGAGAAUACAUAAUAAACGAUAUUACAAGCACAAGUGGAAGCCACUCUAUCUGAAUCAACAUAUAACAACAACAGAGCCCUAGACAACCAAAGUAAUAGAUAUAUAUUGGCGAUAUCCAUAUGCUUUACUCCUAACUUUAGAAAACCUUAGGAUUUCAAACUUAAAUUCACAAGGAACCCAUUGAGUAUCAAAGUUCAGAUUUUAACAAUGAAAAGCUAAAUAAUUAAUUAAAGAUACUACUAUUUUGUGCUGAAAACAGUGUGAUAAAUAGUUAUCUAACUAACAACUCAUCAUAAGUGUGAACAUGUCCAACUUUCUCUGCCAUUGGCAGUCACUACAACAACAACAACCCAGUAAACUCCUACAAGUGAGUCUGGGGAGGGUAAUAUGUACGCAGACCUUACCCCUAUCCCGGGGAGCAGAGAGGCUGUUUUCAUAAGACCCUCGGCUCAAGACAUCAACAAGAGACAAUAAGUUAGUACUAUCAAAUGAAGUAAAUCUCCUAACGCUACAUAAGUUACAAUCAACCACUAGACGCACGAUGCGAACCCUAUGAAUUCCACUCUAUAUUUCCCAUACAUACUAGCUCCGGUGCUAUAACCAAUAACUUCCUGGCCACAAAUUAAAUGCAAUCAAAAACAUACAAUUGUGCACAAAAAGGUUCAAAAAUAUUGUACACUAUAUUUUACUAGUUAAAUGAAAGUUCUGGUGAGAUAAUCAUCAAUAUUAAAUUAUAGAAAAGAAAAGAACAAAAUAAACACUAAGUUACAAAAAAACAGAUGAUCUUAUAUUCCAUUAUAAAUGGAAAACAAAACAAUAGCUUCCUAAGUGUAAUUUCUCAUGGAGAAAUAGAGAAAUAGCAAUGACAACAUAUACAUGCUAUCAAAGUUCUAGAAUCGCUAAUUAUAAGAUCCUAAUAGCUUCAGCAAAUUUAUAGAUUGAAACUAUACAUGCAAGCUAUAAAUUUAUAAGCCAAUUAAGCAAAUGUCAAGAAAACUACUUUAAAAAAUUUCUUUUGAAGUUAAAACUAUACAUGACAUGAAUCCUUAAAAAUGUAGCUCCAGUUUUGAAACAAGCAACACAACUACACUAGAGUAACAAGAUGAUGUUAAGAGAAUUUUAAACAUUGAAUAUUUAUCACCAAGUUCACUUCCCCUGAUGUCUAAGGGCACAAGAGUUUCACACGGAUAUCUUGCUACUACUACUGCACCAGCAAUCUGCAAAUUGUCAUAGAGAAUACGCAACUAAAUUCAGUUCGAUUCAUCAUGUACUACACUUUGUAGACAACACGACUAGUAAGUAUUAGUGUUGAAAGGAAUUAUAAAUCUAAAUAUUUGAUGCCUCAAGGUCCAUCAACAAUAAUGCCAAUACAACCACUCAGUAGCUUCAACUCCUGUCAUAAUAUCAGGUUCUCCCCUUAUCCCAUACGAUUUCACUAACUAAAUAGGACACAUAACGAAACGACAAACACCACAAGUUCUAAAAUAUCUACUGCCUGAGAAGAAUGCAAACCACACAAUGGACUAAACCAAAUAUAGCGAUAUUAUCCAGGGACAUUAAUGGUGAUUAAAUCCUGCAACAAAGAAGAGGAAUGUGAUAAGCCUACUUGCUACUAUUAGAUUGACAUUCUAUCGAACAUUGGAGGUACAUGACAUGCUCGAUUAAGCUCAAUUAUAACCCCAACAAACGAGCAACUCACCUAUUGCAACAUCAAAAUCAAAUCGCAUAACUAAGUAUAGUUAAAAACCUAUUUACCUACAUAAUUACACCCUCAAAAUUUAAUAUUAAGCUAUAGAUACGUUCACCCACUUAGAUGAGAAUUUUUUAAAUACUAGAAUAAAAAAAAGAGAAGCAAUGAGUUGGACUUAUCUUGAAUCUGACCCAUAAUAUAGAAAAUUAAGAAACCUCGACUAUUUUGUCCCUCAAUAGCGAAGAAAACUAAUGUAGACCAAGCAAAUGAAAUUGGGCAAACAACGUCAUGUUCCGUGCUUGAGGGAUAACAUUGGAUACCUUAAAGAAAAAAAAAAGCUUUCUUGUGGGAGGUUAGGUCGUCUGGAGGUGAUUAAUGAAAGUUUUGCCGGAGGAUUUUUUGGUUUAUCCUAAAUUUAUAAAUAAAAAAAAGUUGAAAAACUUACAGCGAUGGUUUCUCCCACAACUACCAGCGAUAAUUCUUUAGCGAGGAACGGGAUUGAAUAGAUGGAAGAAAUUCUGGUUGAGUGUCCCUUUUUUGCUAUUUCUUAGCGUCAACCUCUCGUCUUUCUCUUCCUUAUUUCGAGUAGUAUGAACAACCAAAUCAAAACCCUAAUUGAAAUAUUAUAGAAAUCUCAAUCGCGCCCAAAUAGUAUGAACGCCAAAUUGGUUCUCAUCUUUAAUUUAUCAAAUUUGGUUAUGGGUUGAGGUUUAAUUCCAUAAAUAAUCCUUCUUUUUGCCUUAUAGGAUCUAGGUAUUCUUUGGGUUUAUGUUUGCCGAGAGAUAAUGCAAGGUAAGAAAUCAACUUGUUUAUUUUGCCUAACUUAUUGGUUAAAAGUUGAUUAAUUCUUAGAACAUAAAAAAAAAAUUAAUAAGUAAAGGGAAAAAAUACAAUGUAAAAGAAGAGAGGUUUUGGCGGGUUUCAC